AACGAACGCUGGCGGCAUGCCUAACACAUGCAAGUCGAACGAGAACUCCGGGUCUUGUGGCGCACGGGUGCGUAACGCGUGGGAACCUGCCCUUAGGUUCGGAAUAACUCCCCGAAAGGGGUGAUAUUACCGGAUAAGAUCUUCUACCCAAAGAUGUAUUGCCUUUGGAUGGGCCCGCGUUGGAUUCGGUAGUUGGUAGGGUAAAAGCCUCCCAAGGCGACGAUCCGUAGCUGGUUUGAGAGGAGGAUUAGCCACACUGGGACUGAGACACGGCCCAGACUCCUACGGGAGGGAGCAGUGGGGAAUAUUGGACAAGGGGCGAAGGCCUGAUCCAGCAAUGCCGCGUGAGUGAUGAAGGCCUUAGGGUUGUAAAGCUCUUUUAACCGGGAUGAUAAUGACAGUACCGGGAGAAUAAGCACCGGCUAACUACGUG
rnacentral:rRNA from 1 species